rnacentral:sRNA from 1 species
AGAUGCCAGGGUCAAAAGAUCAAAAUGUCGUUCUUGCUUGCAAGAUAAGACAUUUGAACUUGGGACCCGCUAAACAUGAGGAAGUAGCUAUUUACGCAGUAAAUAUGCGAAUUCCGAAUGUUUAUAGAAUUGCGAGAGUUACUUGUAACGGAGCAAUUCGCAGGCAUCU